rnacentral:rRNA from 1 species
UACCAGCUCUCCGAGUGGUAGGGAUGAUUAUUGGGCUUAAAGCGUCCGUAGCCGGCUUAGCAAGUCUCCUGUUAAAUUCAGCGACCUAAUCGUUGAGCCGCGGGAGAUACUACUAGGCUAGGAGGCGGGAGAGGUCAACGGUACUUCCGGGGUAGGGGUGAAAUCCUAUAAUCCCGGGAGGACCACCAGUGGCGAAGGCUGUUGACUAGAACGCGCUCGACGGUGAGGGACGAAAGCGUGGGGGAGCGAACCGGAUUGGAUACCCGAGUAGUCCCAGCUGUAAACGAUGCGAGCUAGGUGUUGGGGUGGCUACGUGCCACUUCAGUGCCGCAGGGAAGCCAUUAAGCUCGCCGCCUGGGGAGUACGGCCGCAAGGCUAGAAACUUAAAGGAAUUGGCGGGGAGCACCACAAGGCGUGAAGCUUGCGUUC